rnacentral:rRNA from 1 species
GCUUGCUUUCUUGCUGACGAGUGGCGGACGGGUGAGUAAUGCUUGGGAAUCUGGCUUAUGGAGGGGGAUAACGACGGGAAACUGUCGCUAAUACCGCGUAUURUCGRAAGAUGAAAGUGCGGGACUGAGAGGCCGCAUGCCAUAGGAUGAGCCCAAGUGGGAUUAGGUAGUUGGUGGGGUAAAUGCCUACCAAGCCUGCGAUCUCUAGCUGGUCUGAGAGGAUGACCAGCCACACUGGAACUGAGACACGGUCCAGACUCCUACGGGAGGCAGCAGUGGGGRAUAUUGCGCAAUGGGGGGAACCCUGACGCAGCCAUGCCGCGUGAAUGAAGAAGGCCUUCGGGUUGUAAAGUUCUUUCGGUAUUGAGGAAGGUUGAUGUGUUAAUAGCACAUCAAAUUGACGUUAAAUACAGAAGAAGCACCGGCUAACUCCGUGCCAGCAGCCGCGGUAAUACGGAGGGUGCGAGCGUUAAUCGGAAUAACUGGGCGUAAAGGGCACGCAGGCGGUUAUUUAAGUGAGGUGUGAAAGCCCCGGGCUUAACCUGGGAAUUGCAUUUCAGACUGGGUAACUAGAGUACUUUAGGGAGGGGUAGAAUUCCACGUGUAGCGGUGAAAUGCGUAGAGAUGUGGAGGAAUACCGAAGGCGAAGGCAGCCCCUUGGGAAUGUACUGACGCUCAUGUGCGAAA